rnacentral:rRNA from 1 species
AGCAGUCGCCGCGGUAAUACGGAGGAUCCAAGCGUUAUCCGGAAUCAUUGGGUUUAAAGGGUCCGUAGGCGGUCUUGUAAGUCAGUGGUGAAAGCCCAUCGCUCAACGGUGGAACGGCCAUUGAUACUGCAGGACUUGAAUUAUUGGGAAGUAACUAGAAUAUGUAGUGUAGCGGUGAAAUGCUUAGAGAUUACAUGGAAUACCAAUUGCGAAGGCAGGUUACUACCAAUUGAUUGACGCUGAUGGACGAAAGCGUGGGUAGCGAACAGGAUUAGAUACCCCUGUAGUCCCUGUCUCUUAACA